UCAGUUUGUAUAGGGGAAGCUCCUAGUAAUCAGUCGUACUUGUUAAUACCUAAUGUCCUCUCUGCUGCUAUCAGUCGUAAGAUACUGUUGGGAAUUAGGAGGGCUCUAUGAUCACCUUAUCGAGAUAUAGCCAGCUAAGAAUGAGCAAGCUAAGAGUGAGGCUGCAGCUGCAUUUGGAAAUGAUGGUGUAUAUUUGGGGAAAUGCAUUCUAA
rnacentral:lncRNA from 1 species